rnacentral:misc_RNA from 1 species
GUCAAAGAUCAAGUUGAUUGGAAAAGUUUUUAAUCUCGUGAUUGUAGUUUUUUUUAAUCAAAGUUUUUUAAUCUAUAAAUGUAUAUUAUUUUGUUUAUAAAUAAUAUUGUUGCUAUAAAAAUGAUAAUGGAAUAUAUAAUAAAUUAAAAAAUUUGUGAAUUCAUUAAUUGAGAAAUAUAUAUUUUUGUUCAUAUUCUAGUAAAAAUGUCAAAUACAUGAAUGAUUAAGGAAUCUUACAACCUUAAUACUUCAAUAACCUAAAAUAAAAAAAAUAUUUUCUUUGCACGGUUUGUAAGUAACUGAUUUUUUAAUUUCUAUAAUUUUGUCAAAAAUGAUGUGUCACGUUAGACACGUAUGUAAAUAAUUAUAAAUUCAAAAAAAAAAAAAAAAAAAUACAAAAAUCAUUGAAAAAUUAAUUUAAUAAAAAAUGAGUUCUGUUUGGAAACGAUUACAACGGGUAAACAAGAGAGCCGCAAAAUUUCAAUUUACUGUGUCAUAUCAUGAAGUUACUUUACAAACGACAACAAAAUGGAAGCCAAACAAACUAAGUGUUGUAUGGACAAGACGUAGUAGAAGAGUUAGUUCAGAACCAUUAGAUUGGGAACCCAGUUUAAGUGAUCCAUUAAAAGGUGUCAUUAGUUGGGCUGUUCCUGACAAUCAUACAGUUUCAGUAACUUUAUUUAAAGAUCCAAGAACCCAUGAAUUAGAAGAUAAAGAUUGGACAUUUGUAAUUGAAGAUGUUUCGUCUACUGGUAAAAGACGACAUGUAGCUGCUACAAAUAUAAAUAUGAAAAAAUAUGCUACUUUAGAAUCUAGUCAACAACAACUUAAAUUGGAUUUAAAACCUACAUCAAAAAAAAUUGUUAAUGCUACAUUAGAAUGUACUUUAUCUUGUGUCUUUUUAAGAGAAGGCAAAGCAACGGAUGAAGAUAUGCAGAGUAUGGCUAGCUUAAUGUCAGUUAACAACAAUAGUGAUAUUGCACCUUUAGAUGAUUUUGAUAAUGAAGAUAUACCAGAAGAUGUUGAAGAAGUAUCUGGAAAAAAUCUUGAUGAAAUUUUAGAUAUCUCUGCUCAACUUGAUCUAAUGACAAGUAGUCUUACUGAAAGUGAAUUACCUAGUACUCCAAUAAGUGUGGCAAGUUUAUCAAAAGAUGAUAUCACUCCUGUAAAUGAUAGCGAUCAUAUCAUCCGUGAUGUUAGUUUGUCAGGCAUUGGUGAUUCCUUUAAAGAAAAACCUUUAAAGGAUACUAUUGCUGUUGAAAACAAUAAAAAUAUUGAACAUACAUUGAUAAGAUUACCAUUCAAACCAUUAGAAUUAAAAAAGAAUGAUGCCAAUAUUCCUAAAUUAAAAGAAAUUACUCCAGGUCAGGAUUUAUUAGAAUGGUGUAAAGAAGUAACUAAAGAUUAUUCUGGAGUGAAAGUUACUAAUCUUACAACAUCUUGGAGAAAUGGAAUGGCAUUUUGUGCAAUCAUACAUCAUUUUAGAUCAGAUCUUAUAGACAUUGAUUCGUUAUUGCCACAUGAUGUAAAGGGUAAUUGUAAAAAAGCAUUUGAUGCUGGAGAAGCUCUUGGGAUACCUAGAGUAAUAGAACCAGCAGAUAUGGAUAUAUUGACUGUACCUGAUAAAUUAGCUGUGAUGACUUACUUGUAUCAAUUGAGAGCACAUUUUACUGGUCAUGAAUUAGAAGUACAUCAAAUAGGUAAAACAGCAGAUGAAUCAUCUUAUAUGAUUGGCAGAUUUAAUACUGACAAUAAUUCAGAUGUAAGUGUGCAAUUAUUUGGUCAGGAAAUAAUUAAUUUGCGCAAAAAAGAUCAAAUGGAUCAUAAAAAUAAUAAAAGUGAUAAUAACAGACGAUCAAAUCCAUUUGAUAAUAAAAAAGAAGAUGUUAACAUUGAUGCUUUAAAAAAUAAAUUACAUUUAAGUUUGAACAUAGAAAAUCAGGAUCAUGAUCAAUGCAAAGAUAAGUCACCAUCAAGUGUUAAAGAUGUUAAAGAUAUUAUAUUAGCUAGUUCAAAAAGUAUUUUAGAGAAAGUAUUAUCACCAACAAAAGAAAAAUAUUUGUCUAGAGAAAAGAGUAAAUCUCCACCAAGAAUAUCACAAACACAGCAACGUCCUAUAUUAAUGACUCGUCGACAAUUAACAGAUCCUUUUGGAUCUGAUGAAGAAGAAGAAAAUAUUCAAAUAAUUGACGAAAAAUGGUCUCAAUCAAUCUCAAUUAAUAAAUCAGAAACGCCAGAUGAUAAUGAUUCAAUCAAUAUAAGUGACAAAGGAAAUCGUACUGAAUAUCAAACAAUAUCAUCACAAGGAGAACAACGUUCUCAAAAUCCAUUAGUCAGUCGACACGACGAAUUAAGACAACGUGCCAGACAGCUAUUAGAACAGGCUAGGAAUCAUACAAAGUCAACUGGUCUUAUUUCUACUGCUGCUUGUCCUAUUGAGAGUCAAAAUGAUGAUGAAAGACAGCAACAAUUGCGUGAAAGAGCAAGACGUUUAAUAGCAGAAGUAAAAAUGGGUGUAAACAUUACUUCAAAUCAAAUUAAUGAUGACAAUAAUAGUGACAGACGUUCAAUAGAUGAUCAAAAUAAUAGUCCAAGACGAAGUAUUACACCAUCUACUCCGGGUGAUAAAUUUAGUACAAAAUCUGAAUACAAUGGAAAUACUCUAGGAACUCCAAAUAUAAUAGAUGGAGAAAAAAAAACAGGUUCUCCUUUGUUCUCAUUUUCUAAAAUAAUAGAAAGAAUUUCUCCAGAUAAAACUAGCCCAGAUAGUACUUCAUAUACGCUUAGAGGGUUUGGAAAAGACAUGUCAUCUUAUAUUCAAAAUGAAUUAGAAGCAUUAGAAAGAGAACAAACUCAAAUAGAUAUUCAAGCUGGUAAACUUGAGAAACAACUUCGAGCUGCAAUGGAAAGUGAUAAUGAAGAUGAAACAGAAAGAUUAAUGUCUCUUUGGUUUACACUUGUUAAUAAAAAAAAUGCGUUAUUAAGAAGACAAAUGCAAUUGAAUAUAUUAGAAAAAGAAGACGAUCUAGAACGACGGUUUGAAUUAUUGAAUCGUGAAUUGAGAAGUAUAUUAGCAGUAGAAGAAUGGAGAAAAACUUCUGAACAAAAAAUGCGAGAAAAUUUACUUUUAGAGGAGCUAGUUUCAAUAGUAAAUAAGAGAGAUGAAUUAGUUCAUCAUCUUGAUACACAAGAAAGAGCUAUCGAAGAUGAUGAUGAAAUAGAACGUAAUUUAUCUAGAGCUGGUUUAGCUCAACGAAAUAAAAAUUGUAUUAUACAAUAAAAGUGUAAUCUUUUUUUUUUUGGUCAGAAGUGACAAGCAUAAUUCAUUUUGCUGUGGGAUUGCCAAAGAAAAUAUAAAAUUUUUUUCAAAGCAUCAACAGAAUACUACUUCUCGUAGUAGAUCUAAUUUCAAAAUGAUCCGUCGAAGAAAUACACAAAUUCACUGAAAUUUAUUAUGAAAGAUGUAAAAAGAAUAUGUUGCUAGAAAAAUCAAUUUCAAUUAUAAUUGAAAUUAUAAUUGAAAUACAUUCAUUUAUAAUUAUAAUAUCUCAUUAAAAAAGCAAUAGAAAAAUAUGUUAUGUAGGAACUUCUCAAUUCAAAUAAGGUGCUCGAAUCUUAAUAUAAAUUAAAGAAGAAUAUAUAAAAAAAAA